AUCGAUGAAGAACGCAGCGAAAUGCGAUAAGUAAUGUGAAUUGCAGAAUUCAGUGAAUCAUCGAAUCUUUGAACGCACCUUGCACCUUUUGGUAUUCCGAAAGGUAUGCCUGUUUGAGUGUCAUGAAAUAUCAACCAUUAGGGUUUCCUAAUCGGCUUGGACUUGGGCAUUGCCAUCUGGCUUGCCUUAAAUGCGUUAGUGGAUGACCCAUUAGCUUGACGUAAUAAGUUUCGUCAGUCGAGUGGUCAGCAUUUGCUUACAACAACCAAUAUUUCUUAAUCUCUGACCUCAAAUCAGGUAGGACUACCCGCUGAACUUAAGCAUAUCAAUAAGCGGAGGAAAAGAAACUAACAAGGAUUCCCCUAGUAACGGCGAGCGAACCGGGAAGAGCUCAAAUUUGUAAUCUGGCGUCCUCCGGGCGUCCGAGUUGUAAUCUAUAGAAACGUUUUCCGCGCCGGACUGUGUCCAAGUCCCUUGGAAUAGGGUAUCAAAGAGGGUGACAAUCCCGUGCUUGACACAACCACCGGGGCUAUGUGAUACGUUUUCUACGAGUCGAGUUGUUUGGGAAUGCAGCUCAAAAUGGGUGGUAAAUUCCAUCUAAAGCUAAAUAUUGGCGAGAGACCGAUAGCGAACAAGUACCGUGAGGGAAAGAUGAAAAGCACUUUGGAAAGAGAGUUAAACAGUACGUGAAAUUGUUAAAAGGGAAACGAUUGAAGUCAGUCGUGUCUAUUGGGUUCAGCCGGGUCUCCCGGUGUAUUCCCUUUAGAUGGGUCAACAUCAGUUUGGACCGACGGAUAAUGGCUGGAGGAAGGUAGCACCCUCGGGUGUGUUAUAGCCUCCUGUCGCAUACGCCGGUCUGGACUGAGGAAUGCAGCUCGCCUUUAUGGCAGGGGUUCGCCCACUUACGAGCUUAGGAUGUUGACAUAAUGGCUUUAAACGACCCGUCUUGAAACACGG
rnacentral:rRNA from 1 species